rnacentral:rRNA from 1 species
AUUGAACGCUGGCGGCAGGCCUAACACAUGCAAGUCGAACGGUAACAGGAAGCAGCUUGCUGCUUUGCUGACGAGUGGCGGACGGGUGAGUAAUGUCUGGGAAACUGCCUGAUGGAGGGGGAUAACUACUGGAAACGGUAGCUAAUACCGCAUAACGUCGCAAGACCAAAGAGGGGGACCUUCGGGCCUCUUGCCAUCGGAUGUGCCCAGAUGGGAUUAGCUAGUAGGUGGGGUAACGGCUCACCUAGGCGACGAUCCCUAGCUGGUCUGAGAGGAUGACCAGCCACACUGGAACGGAGACACGGUCCAGACUCCUACGGGAGGCAGCAGUGGGGAAUAGUGCACAAUGGGCGCAAGCCUGAUGCAGCGAGGCCGCGUGUAUGAAGAAGGCCUUCGGGUUGUAAAGUACUUUCAGCGGGGAGGAAGGGAGUAAAGUUAAUACGUUUGCUCAUUGACGUUACCCGCAGAAGAAGCACCGGCUAACUCCGUG